AUGCUCUCGCGUGUUCUUCGUGCCGUCUCAUCGGUGGUAUCCGUGGAGGAAGCGAGCGGUGGGUCGGUCGGUUUGGGUUGUCUGGUUUGUGAACUAACAAGUCUGUUUGAGAAACUUCUGCAUGCGCUUCUGUUAUCUGAGAGACGCUCACCAGCUCACGUUCCUGCGUUUCGUGUUCGCGUCGGGCCCUUGUUCGCGUCUGCUUUUGAAAUUGGAAUUGCUGUUUAUCGUGCUCGUUCAGAUCGGUUCCUCUGUUCCGUUACCUGCGCUGUUCGUCAGUUACUUUCAUAUCUCAAACGCAUGCGCCCUUUGAUACUACUUGAUGGAUGUUCAGAUCUCAAAUGCUGCGUUGUUCAGAUCAGUUAUUUUGAUUGA
rnacentral:rRNA from 1 species